rnacentral:rRNA from 1 species
ACGGAAGGCAGCAGUGGGGUAUAUUGCACAAUGGGGGGAACCCUGAUGCAGCGACGCCGCGUGAGCGAAGAAGAUCUUCGGAUUGUAAAGCUCUGUCUUAGGGGACGAUAAUGACGGUACCCUGAGAGGAAGCCACGGCUAACUACGUGCCAGCAGCCGCGGUAAUACGUAGGUGGCAAGCGUUGUCCGGAAUUACUGGGUGUAAAGGGAGCGCAGGCGGGUCGACAAGUUGGAAGUGAAAAUUACGGGCUUAACUCGUAAACUGCUUUCAAAACUGCCGAUCUUGAGUGGUGUGGAGGUAGGCGGAAUUCCCGGUGUAGCGGUGGAAUGCGUAGAUAUCGGGAGGAACACCAGUGGCGAAGGCGGCCUACUGGGCACUAACUGACGCUGAGGCUCGAAAGCAUGGGUAGCAAACAGGAUUAGAUACCCUGGUA